CGCUGGCGGCGUGCCUAAUACAUGCAAGUCGAACGGUCUUUCUAUGGAAGCUUGCUUCCACUGAGAAGAUAGUGGCGAACGGGUGAGUAACACGUGGGUAACCUGCCCAUAAGAGGGGGGAUAACAUCCGGAAACGGGUGCUAAUACCGCAUAGUUUUCUUGAUUGCAUGAUUGAGAAAGGAAAGACGGCCUUUGUGCUGUCGCUUAUGGAUGGACCCGCGGCGUAUUAGUUAGUUGGUGAGGUAACGGCUCACCAAGACGAUGAUACGUAGCCGACCUGAGAGGGUGAUCGGCCACAUUGGGACUGAGACACGGCCCAAACUCCUACGGGAGGCAGCAGUAGGGAAUCUUCCGCAAUGGACGAAAGUCUGACGGAGCAACGCCGCGUGAGUGAAGAAAGGUUUUCGGAUCGUAAAACUCUGUUGUCAGAGAAGAACAAGUUGGAGAGUAACUGCUCCAGCCUUGACGGUAUCUGACCAGAAAGCCACGGCUAACUACGUGCCAGCCGCAGC
rnacentral:rRNA from 1 species